ACGGUCUUGGUGGCCCGAUGGCCCAACUGCCAGCUCGCGAAGUAGCGGAAGUGAUUCUAUCCUUGUGUGUCACAACGACUCCUUCAUUGGUGUUCGGUGACAGUGGUCUCAUCGUGUCUGAAGCACACAGGGACACCUAUCAAGCAAGAACGUCCGUUCAGGUUACCAUGAACAAAACAGCGUGUCCAAGGCAGGCGACCCGAUCGCCAGUAUGGUUCAGCAUGGAAUGACAAGGGAUCGACCAGUGUGUGUCGGAAGACUCCCUUUGCCUGGCACUUGAGCACACACGAGUGGACAAUGCGGGACCUGGUGUGGUGUCGACCAACUCGUGCCAACGGGUUACUUGCUCUUCGGAGUACCCUGUCCUUGCGGUACCAAGUAGUUGCAUCCAUAGGUGUCCGAUCGGUACUGAGGAGAGCAUUCGGAGGUAUACGUACCGUGUGGCGAGAGGUGAAAUUCUUAGACCCACACGUGACGAACUGAAGCGAAGGCGUUUCCACCAAGGGUGCGUCUGUCAAUCAAGAACGAGAGUGUGGGGAGCGAAGAUGAUCAGAUACCGUUGUAGUCCAUUACCGUAAACGAUGCCAGCUCGGUGAUGGGCCUGUGUUCUUACAAGAACGACUUGCUCAGCACCACCCCCCAUCAACGAGAAAUCCAAGCCUAUGGGUUCAGGGGGGAGUACCGUCGCAAGGCUGAAACUUAAAGGAAUUGACGGAAUGACACCACAAGGUGUGGAGUCUGCGGCUUAAUUUGACCCAACACGGGAAACGUUACCGGGUCAGGACGCAGCAAGGAUGGACAGAUUGAGAGCUCUUUCUUGAUUCUUUGGAGGGUGGUGCAUGGCCGUUUCUGGUUGGUGGAGUGAUUUGUCUGGUUGAGUCUGAUAACGAGCGAGAUCUCUGCCUCCCAAUAGCUACCGGUCUCGUUACAGUAGGGUGAUGGGAGACCAGCCGAGGAUCACGGACUUGUCUGGGGUCUUCGUGUUGCCUUCCGUUCUUCACCCGAGAGUGCUGGUUCACUUCUUGGAGGAGCUAGGUGUGCUUACCAACACCUGCAAGCUAGAGCCGACAGCAGGUCUGUGAUGCCCCUAAAUGUCCUGGGCCGCACGCGCACGACAAUGGUACUGCGAACAUGCUCUUGCCCAAAUUGUUAUUGGGUCCAGUACCGACAGGUACAGGUAACCCUUGAAGCCAGUGCCGUGACUGGGAUAGAUGAUUGCAAUUAUUUGCCUUGAACGAGGAAUACCUAGUAGGCAUGGUUCAUCAGGCCGUACCGAUUAUGUCCCUGCCAUUUGUACACACCGCCCGUCGUUGCAACCGAUGGCGUUAGGAUAGAGGUCUCAGGAGCCAAGGCUGGUGGGUAAAACUGCUUGCUGGGUGAAUCUGGCCAAUGUUCUCAUGCU
rnacentral:rRNA from 1 species